rnacentral:rRNA from 1 species
GACGAACCGUGCGAACGUUGUUCGGAAUCACUGGGCUUAAAGGGCGCGUAGGCGGUCGGCCAAGUCCGGGGUGAAAGCCCCCGGCUCAACCGGGGAAGGGCCUUGGAUACUGGCCGGCUGGAGGGAGGUAGGGGCAGCUGGAACUUCCGGUGGAGCGGUGAAAUGCGUUGAUAUCGGAAGGAACGCCGGUGGCGAAAGCGAGCUGCUGGCCCUCUUCUGACGCUGAGGCGCGAAAGCUAGGGGAGCAAACGGG